rnacentral:lncRNA from 13 species
AUGCAGAGUUGGACCUGGUCUGUGUACAGAUUUACAGUAACUGUUGGGGGCCGUGGAAGCGGUGCCAUGCUCACACUGGGCUGGAGGGGGUGCCGGAGCUGUGGCGCUGGGUCAGAGGCAGAGGCAAAGAGAGAGAAUUUACUCCGCCCAAAAUCAUUCCACGAAAUAAGACCACGAAAACUUGGCCAACCGGCCCAUCUCUCCCCCAGGACUUGGCCAACAUGCCCAUCUCUCCCACAGAACUUGGCCAACCUGCCCAUCUGCAUGGCCAAGACCCACCUGUCCCUGUUCAAUGACCCAAAGAGGAUAGGGGUGAAACGCGGCAUCGUCCUGCCUGUCAGGGACAUCCAUGCCACUGGGGGCGCUGGCUUCUUCAACCCUUUGGUGAGCACUGUGAGUACUGAUGCUGCCAGUGUAUUCAUUACUCAGUGUCACUCAUGAAUGCUGGACUGGACAUGACAUGGGUAUAGUGAGGAAUGCCAGUUAGCUAAGAUGCUAAAACAAGUGAUGACUUGAGCUUCUUAGAAUCAUCGCAAGAGAUUCAAAACUACAGACCAUGGAAAUGGGAAAAAAUAUAACUUUGAGAUAUCAGAUGUCCUAGCAUUCAGCUAAAAGAAUAUUCACCCUGAGAUGUUCACUUAGGCCACACAUCCCCCUGCAAAUACCACCUCUACAGACAGAUGACUCCAUUUUUCACAUUUAGCCAGGAGCACAGUUUCAAUGACAAGACAUAAUCCGAUGACAUGUUCCCAUAACAAGCUGACCGAAACCACAUUGUGCUUACUCAGGUAUUUUUACUUGUUUUUUUACAUGGUCUCUUUCAGCAUGGUUCCAGCAACUAUGGUGAAUGCCUAACCAGUGGUGUGUAUUCAUAGAUGCCAACGGAAGCCAGGCUUCUGAAGACAGCCAUAUUUGGUAAAAGACCAAGUCCAUAUUAUGGCAAGAACAGCUCAAAUAAGCAAAGAGAAACAACCUGGCCUCCACAAUCACUUGACCUCAAACCAAUUGAGAUGGUUUGGGAUGAGUUGGACCGCAGAGUGAAGGAAAAGCAGCCAACAAGUGCUCAGCGUAUGUGAGAACUCCUUCAAGACUGUUGGAAAAGCAUUCCUCAUGAAGCUGGUUGAGAGAAUGCCAAGAGUGUGUAAAGCUACCAUCAAGGCAAAGGGUGGCUACUUUGAAGAAUCUCAAAUAUAACAUCUAUUUUGAUUAGUAUGACACUUUUUUAGUUACUACAUGACCCCAUAUGUGUUUUCAUGUUGUCACUAUUAUUCUACAGUGUAGAAAAUAGUCCAAAUACAGAAAAUCCCUUGAAUGAGUAGAUGUGCCCAAACAUUUAACUGGUUCUGUAUGUGUAGGCCAUCUAUCUGAUGCUAUCUGGUUCAAAAGAGUGUUAGAUUGUUGUCGCCUGUAGUAUUGAAUGCAAGGGAAGCCAGCGAGUGUUUGACCUCCCUUGAUAAAAAAAAGGUAUAAAAUAAUAGCCAAUCAGUGUUGAGUUAAACUGAGUGAGCUCAGCUGUGAAUGAUCCUGGCGCACCAAAAAAAAGUGUCACGGGAAGCCAGUUUGGAUUUGGCAUCACUCCUAUCAAAUCGCAUCGAGAGCAAUACGUUAUUGAAAGAAACCAUUUGAAUUGUUGCAUCUCAUUGUGUUGUGUAGCUAAAAUUGGCCCUUUACUAAAUUAUCCAUGGAUGGAGAUAAGAAUUUGGACUUGUGGUUUUACUUAAUUCUCCUUACUGGCCAACGAUAAUAACAGCAUUUUUGAUCCAAUCAUUAAUUCAUACAUUGUGCCCCUGGCCUGAGAGGUUGGAAUUUCAAUGUGUAGCAAGAUGUAGAAGGCUAAUGUUAAUUAGCUAANNNNNNNNNNNNNNNNNNNNNNNNNNNNNNNNNNNNNNNNNNNNNNNNNNNNNNNNNNNNCAAGUCUAUACCUUCUUCACACAGCCUCACAGAUCACACGUCUCCAUUUUGGGCCACGACACAGAGGUGUCCAAUUAUUUAACAUGUUAAAUGUGCACCAAUGGCUGGCGUCAACGUCUUUAGCAUCAACACACACACACACACACACACAAACACACACACACACACACACACACACACACACACACACACACACACACACACACACACACACACACACACACACUGUAACAUUUCCUGAGCUCUCUGACUCUUCAGAUGUUUGUUAGGCACCUGCUCACACAUUUAUUUUGUACAUGUGAUAUUUAUUCAUUUAGCAGACGCUCUUCCCUGAGUAUAAUCACUAAUCAGGGUACAUUGAGUGCGUACACUGUGGAGGUGAAGCCGAGAACAAGUGCAUGAAUUGUUGUAAUCAACGUUAUUUGAAAUGCUAAUUGUACAAUACACAGGGUUAAUGCCCUGAAUGAAUAAAAUCACUGAUUAUUCUCAUAAUCAAAGAGGAAUAAUGUGUUUUUUGUGCCUGCUUCUUGAGUCCUGCUUCUGUGUGCCUGCUUCUUGAGUCCUGCUUCUGUGUGCCUGCUUCUUGAGAGAGAGGGGGCGAGAGAGAGGGGAGAGAGUGUGAGAGAGAGAGUGUGAGAGAGAGAGUGCGAGGGAGGGAGGG